AAAAAGGGCUUCUGUCGUGAGUGACACGUGGGGUGGGCUGGCCUCGGUCUGUCCUGCCCCGUGCGGAAUCGACAUCAAGAGAUUUCGGAAGCACAAUUUUUGUUCCUGGGGCUGCUGGUAAUCGCUCGUUCCGGCGCCCCC
ensembl:snRNA